CCCGCCCCCGGUGGAGCAUGUGGUUUAAUUCGAAGCAACGCGAAGACCUUCCAGGUCUUCAUCCUCUGACAAUCCUAGAGAUAGGACGUCCCCUUCGGGGGCAGAGUGACAGGUGGUGCAAAAAAAUCAGCUCGUGUCGUGAGAUGUUGGGUUAAGUCCCGCAACGAGCGCAACCCUUGAUCUUAGUUGCCAGCAUUCAGUUGGGCACUCUAAGGUGACUGCCGGUGACACCGGAGGAAGGUGGGGAUGACGUCAAAUCAUCAUGCCCCUUAUGACCUGGGCUACACACGUGCUACAAUGGCAGAACAAAGGGCGGAAACCGCGAGGUUAAG
rnacentral:rRNA from 2 species